CGGGGUGUAGCGCAGCCUGGUUAGCGCAUCUGCUUUGGGAGCAGAGGGUCGGAGGUUCGAAUCCUCUCACCCCGACCA
rnacentral:tRNA from 1 species